rnacentral:tRNA from 1 species
GGAAGAGUGCCCGAAUGGUUUUAGGGAGUACGCUGUAAACGUAUCGGAAAUCGCAAUGUAGGUUCGAUUCCUACCUCUUUCA